AUUGAACGCUGGCGGCAUGCCUUACACAUGCAAGUCGAACGGCAGCACGGGAGCAAUCCUGGUGGCGAGUGGCGAACGGGUGAGUAAUAUAUCGGAACGUGCCCAGUAGUGGGGGAUAACUGCUCGAAAGAGCAGCUAAUACCGCAUACGACCUGAGGGCGAAAGGGGGGGAUCGCAAGACCUCUCGCUAUUGGAGCGGCCGAUAUCAGAUUAGCUAGUUGGUGGGGUAAAGGCCUACCAAGGCAACGAUCUGUAGUUGGUCUGAGAGGACGACCAGCCACACUGGGACUGAAGCACGGCCCAGACUCCUACGGGAGGCAGCAGUGGGGAAUUUUGGACAGUGGGCGCAAGCCUGAUCCAGCAAUGCAGCGUGCAGGAAGAAGGCCUUCGGGUUGUAAACUGCUUUUGUCAGGGAAGAAAUCCUCUAGGUUAAUACCCUUGGGGGGAUGACGGUACCUGAAGAAUAAGCACCGGCUAACUACGUGCCAGCCGCCGCGGUAAAAC
rnacentral:rRNA from 1 species